rnacentral:lncRNA from 1 species
CUUUAAGGUGUUUUAGGGGGUUUUUGGGGGAUGUUUUCAGAGUCAUGUUAUAGUAUGUUGGUCCCUCAUUUAAGUCCACCUGUGUAGGUUCGGACCCGAGGAACCGAGGACCUCAGCAGUGAGUCAGCUGCUUCUGUCAGUGUCAGAGCUAGCCAGAGGUGAGUAGAAUAACUCCUUAUGUUUCAAGUAAAUAAAUCAGUUUUGAGCACGUUCAUGCAUCACGGAUGCCAUGUAAUAUUUUAGGUUGUUUGCAUUAGAAAUCACGAAUAUGUUGCAUUGCAUAAUAUGUUGUUGAUGUGGAUGAAUGUUGAAUGAUCCAUUAGCCCUCAUAUGUUAUGGCAUGAUGAUAUGAUAUGGAAGUCCAGGUGUGGCCUGCACUACGCCCCUGGCACUAUGUAAGAGAAAGACCGG